AUUGAACGCUGGCGGCAUGCUUUACACAUGCAAGUCGGACGGUAACGCGGGGGCAACCCUGGCGACGAGUGGCGAACGGGUGAGUAAUACAUCGGAACGUGUCCUGGAGUGGGGGAUAGCUCGGCGAAAGCCGGAUUAAUACCGCAUACGCUCUGAGGAGGAAAGCGGGGGACCGCAAGGCCUCGCGCUGCAGGAGCGGCCGAUGUCGGAUUAGCUAGUUGGUGGGGUAAAGGCCUACCAAGGCGACGAUCCGUAGCUGGUCUGAGAGGAUGAUCAGCCACACUGGGACUGAGACACGGCCCAGACUCCUACGGGAGGCAGCAGUGGGGAAUUUUGGACAAUGGGGGCAACCCUGAUCCAGCCAUGCCGCGUGAGUGAAGAAGGCCUUCGGGUUGUAAAGCUCUUUCGGACGGAACGAAACGGUUACGGUGAAUAAUCGUGACUAAUGACGGUACCGUAAGAAGAAGCACCGGCUAACUACGUGCCAGCCGCCGCCGUAAAAC
rnacentral:rRNA from 1 species